AUGAAUGAUGAAAGUUUUUUUAGACUAGAGUCUCUGAAAAAAUUGAUGACACAACCCUUGGCUGUCUGACAU
rnacentral:snoRNA from 1 species